rnacentral:rRNA from 1 species
UACGAAGGGGGGCUAGCGUUGUUCGGAAUUACUGGGCGUAAAGCGCGCGCAGGCGGUCUUCCAAGUCAGUGGUGAAAGCCCGGAGCUCAACUCCGGAACUGCCAUUGAAACUGUUAGACUUGAGGAUGAGAGAGGUGAGUGGAAUUCCCAGUGUAGAGGUGAAAUUCGUAGAUAUUGGGAAGAACACCGGUGGUGAAGGCGGCUCACUGGCUCAUUACUGACGCUCAGGCGCGAUAGCGUGGGGAUCAAACAGG